AUUGAACGCUGGCGGCAUGCCUUACACAUGCAAGUCGAACGGCAGCACGGGAGCAAUCCUGGUGGCGAGUGGCGAACGGGUGAGUAAUAUAUCGGAACGUGCCCAGUCGUGGGGGAUAACGUAGCGAAAGCUACGCUAAUACCGCGUACGAUCUAGGGAUGAAAGCGGGGGAUCGCAAGACCUCGCGCGAUUGGAGCGGCCGAUAUCAGAUUAGGUAGUUGGUGAGGUAAAGGCUCACCAAGCCGACGAUCUGUAGCUGGUCUGAGAGGACGACCAGCCACACUGGGACUGAGACACGGCCCAGACUCCUACGGGAGGCAGCAGUGGGGAAUUUUGGACAAUGGGCGCAAGCCUGAUCCAGCAAUGCCGCGUGCAGGAUGAAGGCCUUCGGGUUGUAAACUGCUUUUGUACGGAACGAAACGGCGAGCUCUAAUACAGUUUGCUAAUGACGGUACCGUAAGAAUAAGCACCGGCUGACUACGUGCCAGCCGCCGCAGUAA
rnacentral:rRNA from 1 species